AAGCUCAUCAUGGCAUCGAAGACCAUUACCGCCCUGCUCCUUCUCUUCGCUCUCAUAGGCGCGGCGAGUGCCGCGGCUAUAAACUCUGAGAAUGAAGGUGACAACGCGUUAGGCAUGGCCAUAGAGGCUCCCUCAAGUGAUGAUGACACGGUGAAUGAAGUAAAAACUCGUCCAUGCUUGAGCUCCGGCUUCAAGCUCCCUUGAGCUCCGGCUUCGAGCUCCCUUGAGCUACGGCUUCAUUCCUGAAGAAUGAACGUGGCAUCUUGUAUUGGAGAUUCAAAAGCAAACACUUGCACACGCACCUGCAUGGGACUAAGUGGACUUAACUCAAUCAUCUGAUAUUGCAAUUCAAUUUCAUAAUUCUUUUUCUUGUCAUGAAUAGAUGACAACUUGUUUGAUUACGUUUAUUAUCAUUGAGACACCCUUUUCUUUCAUUUAUUUGUAUACUAGCUCAUAUGUAUGUAUUACUCUGUUAUCAUAUCGGAUGUAAACAUGUAAUUAUGCAUGACAUACUGUUAA